rnacentral:rRNA from 1 species
UACGGAGGGUGCAAGCGUUAUCCGGAUUCACUGGGUUUAAAGGGUGCGUAGGUGGGCUGGUAAGUCAGUGGUGAAAUCUCCAGGCUUAACUUGGAAACUGCCAUUGAUACUAUCAGUCUUGAAUACCGUGGAGGUCAGCGGAAUAUGUCAUGUAGCGGUGAAAUGCUUAGAUAUGACAUAGAACACCAAUUGCGAAGGCAGCUGGCUACACGAAUAUUGACACUGAUGCACGAAAGCGUGGGGAUCAAACUGG